ACUCCUACGGGAGGCAGCAGUGGGGAAUAUUGCACAAUGGGCGCAAGCCUGAUGCAGCCAUGCCGCGUGUGUGAAGAAGGCCUUCGGGUUGUAAAGCACUUUCAGUUGUGAGGAAGGUGGGUGUCGUUAAAUAGCGGCAUCAUUUGACGUUAGCAACAGAAGAAGACAACCGGCUAACGUCCUGCCAGCAGCCGCGGUAAUACGG
rnacentral:rRNA from 1 species